UACGUAGGGGGCAAGCGUUGUCCGGAAUCAUUGGCCGUAAAGCGCGCGUAGGCGGCCCGGUAAGUCCGUUGUGAAAGUCAAAGGCUCAACCUUUGAACGCCGAUGGAUACUGCCGGGCUAGAGUCCGGAAGAGGCGAGUGGAAUUCCCGGUGUAGCGGUGAAAUGCGCAGAUAUCGGGAGGAACACCUAUGGCGAAGGCAGCUCGCUGGGACGUUACUGACGCUGAGACGCGAAAGCGUGGGGAGCAAACAGG
rnacentral:rRNA from 1 species